rnacentral:rRNA from 1 species
CCCUUAGAUGUUCUGGGCCGCACGCGCGCUACACUGAGUGGAUCAGCGGGUCAGGUUGCGCGAAAGCGUUUCCUAAUCUUUAAAUCCGCUCGUGAUGGGGAUUGACGGUUGCAAUUUUCUGUCAUGAACGAGGAAUACCUUGUAAGCGCGGGUCAUCAUCCCGCGCUGAAUACGUCCCUGCCCUUUGUACACACCGCCCGUCGCUCCUACCGAUUGAGUGGUCCGGUGAGGCUUUGGGAUCUGAGCGGAAAGAGCGUUUCGCUGUUUCUGCUCGGAAAACUCAGUCGAACCUUAUCAUUUAGAGGAAGGAGAAGUCGUAACA